AGGGGUAUAGUUCUUCGGAACUAGAGACCGGCGCACGGGUGCGUAACGCGUAUGCAAUCUACCUUUCACAGAGGGAUAGCCCAGAGAAAUUUGGAUUAAUACCUCAUAGUAUAAUGAGUUGGCAUCAACACAUUAUUAAAGUCACAACGGUGAAAGAUGAGCAUGCGUCCCAUUAGCUAGAUGGUAAGGUAACGGCUUACCAUGGCUACGAUGGGUAGGGGUCCUGAGAGGGAGAUCCCCCACACUGGUACUGAGACACGGACCAGACUCCUACGGGAGGCAGCAGUGAGGAAUAUUGGACAAUGGGCGCAAGCCUGAUCCAGCCAUGCCGCGUGCAGGAUGACGGUCCUAUGGAUUGUAAACUGCUUUUGUACAGGAAGAAACACUGGUUCGUGAACCAGCUUGACGGUACUGUAAGAAUAAGGAUCGGCUAACUCCGUGCCAGCAGCCGCGGUAAUACGGAGGAUCCAAGCGUUAUCCGGAAUCAUUGGGUUUAAAGGGUCCGUAGGCGGUUUAGUAAGUCAGUGGUGAAAGCCCAUCGCUCAACGGUGGAACGGCCAUUGAUACUGCUAAACUUGAAUUAUUAGGAAGUAACUAGAAUAUGUAGUGUAGCGGUGAAAUGCUUAGAGAUUACAUGGAAUACCAAUUGCGAAGGCAGGUUACUACUAAUGGAUUGACGCUGAUGGACGAAAGCGUGGGUAGCGAACAGGAUUAGAUACCCUGGUAGUCCACGCCGUAAACGAUGGAUACUAGCUGUUGGAAGCAAUUUCAGUGGCUAAGCGAAAGUGAUAAGUAUCCCACCUGGGGAGUACGU
rnacentral:rRNA from 1 species